rnacentral:tRNA from 2 species
AGUUAAAAGCGCAAGGAUUAAGCCUAAUGUCUUGAAAACAUUAAGAAAGAAGUUCAAAUCUUCUAUUAACUU